UGAGCAAUCUGCCCUUCUCAUCGGAAUAAGCGUUGGAAACGACGUCUAAUGCCGAAUACGACCUCCUUUCGCAUGAUCGGAGGUGGAAAGCUCCGGCGGAGAAGGAUGAGCUCGCGGCCUAUCAGCUAGUUGGUGAGGUAACGGCUCACCAAGGCGACGGACGGGUAGCUGGUCUGAGAGGAUGGCCAGCCACAUUGGGACUGAGACACCGGCCCAGAUCCGUACGGGG
rnacentral:rRNA from 1 species